AGAGUUUGAUCCUGGCUCAGGAUGAACGCUAGCGGCAGGCUUAAUACAUGCAAGUCGAGGGCAGCACGGUUAGCAAUAACUGGUGGCGACCGGCGCACGGGUGCGUAACACGUAUACAAUCUACCUUAAACAGGGGGAUAGCCUUUCGAAAGAGAGAUUAAUACCCCGUAAUAAAUUGAACGGCAUCGUUUGAUUUUGAAAGCUCCGGCGGUUUGAGAUGAGUAUGCGUCUGAUUAGCUAGUUGGUGAGGUAACGGCUCACCAAGGCGACGAUCAGUAGGGGAUCUGAGAGGACUAAACCCCCCACACUGGUACUGAGACACGGACCAGACUCCUACGGGAGGCAGCAGUAAGGAAUAUUGGUCAAUGGAGGCAACUCUGAACCAGCCAUGCCGCGUGCAGGAUGACGGCCCUAUGGGUUGUAAACUGCUUUUAUACAAGAGAAAACCCUGGUACGUGUACCAGGUUGAUAGUAUUGUAAGAAUAAGCAUCGGCUAACUUCGUG
rnacentral:rRNA from 1 species